CUCCUUCGUGAGCGGCCCAAAAUAUUACUCUGCCCUCAGCUGGACAGAGAUCCUUCUAUGGAGACCAGUGGGGUGGGCUGGAAACCUGCAGUUUUUAUCUGCUCUCUAGUGUGGGGAAGUACCGGUCUGGUUCCCGGGAUAGUCCUCCCCCAGUCCUGUCACUGAGAGUUCCUGCGACUGUUCCAACCCAGUGGCUUGGCAUCUGCUUUGUUUCCUCAGAAAAGAACAAAAUACAGGGUGUGGCAUGCAGGCUCCUGAGGGUGGGGCAGGCUGUGUCAUCCAGGGUGCAUUUUUUUCUUUUCCUGUCCUGUGGCUGCUGGGAGCAGCUACUUCCUCUCAGGAAAAAUGGCCCUUUCGGUUUGGAGGCCGAUGAGCAAAUGUUCCUGGCUGCUGAUUUUCCAAGUCUCCCUGCAGUGCUCCCACCCCAGCAUCUCCUUAGGCACCUCAGUCCCUGUCUCCCUCCCUGCACCAAAGCCUUGGUGAUUUUUAAUGACCAUCAAUCUUCAAUCCUGGCUCUGUCCAGCCCUAAAGUGUUGGCUUGUCUGAAGUUACACCACCUCGGAUCAAGCCCUGACUUCCUGGCUUACCAGCUGAGGAGGGUCCCCAAACUCUCCAAGCUCCCAUCUAUUCAUCUGAGAAAUGGGGAUUAGGAUUAUUAUGAUGAUCAAAUGCCAUAAUCCAAAGCAGAGCGAGUGAACCAUACAUUCUACACUAUCUACAGUAACAGAAGAAACUGCUGGAAGAAUAAUGGCCAAUGUCUCACUAAGAACCCUUAAAAACAGCCACUACCAAUUUAUUCACUGAAAGCUCUAAAAGGGAGGAAAACAAGCCAAAUUAAUGAUAUGCUUACUGUCCCAUCCACAGGAACAGGACAUAAGGAACAGAUGACAUUAUUUUUCAUGAGCCAGGUGGUCAUCCUGUGAUGAAUUGAAUGUCAGUAAAAAAUUUUAACAAGGAUGGGGUCAAGGAUAGGUAACCAGGCAUAACUCCAAGUUUCCCACUCCCAGACAUGGGCGCGUCAAGGUCCUGAUUAGACCCUUGUAACUGUAAAUCAAGGACGUUUGUAGUUUCUGUGAAUAAAAGCUCGCUGAGCACAAAGCUCAGGGCUGUUACAGGAGGGGCCUGUGGCAGACGCUGGCCAGCUCAAUAAAUCCUCGCUUGCUGUUUAAGACCUAAUUGGAGUCGGUGGUCUUAUUCUCGCGAAUGUUGGUCCACGACAAUCCCUUCCUAGACUUCAAGGACCUCUCAUGCAUUUUAUAAUUUUUCUGUGUUGUGUGACAAUUCUAAAUCUUCAGAGAUUAUCAUAAGGUACAACCCAAGCAAGAAUGUUUUGAUGAUAUAAGGGCACUCUAAAAUUUCAAAACACCAUUAAGAAUAAUAAUGGUAACUAUCUGGUAGGGACUAUUGAAGUAUGGUACCUAUUUGCUUUGUUUAACAAUAGAAAGGUUACUUUGAUUUUCUAAAUUGUAUAAGUCAUCUCAUUCGAUUGAAUGCCUUAUUGAUUGUAACAUGACUAUCCCAUUGAUUGUGAUCUUACUGAUUAUCGAAGCACAUUCUUCUGUACCUGGGAAACAGGACAGCACAAUUACCCUAAAUUGUUUUAGUGGCCACAGGUGGUGUGUUCCAGCUGACUCAGUGGUCCCAAGAUCAGGACAGCACAAUUACUCUAAAUUGUCCUGACAACUCAGUGGUCGGGAGACCCGAGGGCUCUAGAUAAUGUGUUUCUAUCAACUCGGUGAUCCGGAGACCCAAAACUGUAAUUUAGAUAACAUGCCUAAAUUUAACCCAGGUUACCCAAGGGCUCUAGAUAAUGUAUUUCUGUCAAUUCAGUGACCCUGAGACCCGAAACUGUAAUUAACAUGCUUAAUUCUGCUUCUGUAAUCUGCUUUUUUGCGAGCCAGGUGCCUCAUUCCAAACCCUGAGAUGUAAUCAAUACCUUUGUGAUUUUUUGCCUAUAUAAUCCUGGAACUGUGACCAAAUAGGCUAUAAGAUUUGAGAAUGGCCCCUCAUAGUCCCAGAUUGCAAUAAA